CAGUAGCCGCGGUAAUACGAAGGGGGCUAGCGUUGCUCGGAAUGACUGGGCGUAAAGGGCGCGUAGGCGGCGGCCAAAGUCAGGCGUGAAAUUCCCGGGCUCAACCUGGGGGCUGCGUUUGAUACUUGGUUGCUUGAGUGGGGAAGAGGGUCGUGGAAUUCCCAGUGUAGAAGUGAAAUGCGUAGAGAUGUGGAGGAAUACCGAUGGCGAAGGCAGCCUCCUGGGAUAACACUGACGUUCAUGCUCGAAAGCGUGGGUAGCAAACAGGAUUAGAUACCCGAGUAGUCCCUGUCUCUUAUAC
rnacentral:rRNA from 1 species